AUGUUUGUUCUGAGCCUGUCCUAUCCAGGUCUGUCCUAUCCAGGUCUGUCUGCCUGUCCCAUCCAGGUCUGUCUGCCUGUCCCAUCCAGGUCUGUCUGUCCCAUCCAGGUCUGUCUGUCCCAUCCGGGUCUGUCUGCCUGUCCCAUCCGGGUCUGUCUGCCUGUCCCAUCCGGGUCUGUCUGUCCCAUCCGGGUCUGUCUGUCCCAUCCGGGUCUGUCUGCCUGUCCCAUCCGGGUCUGUCUGUCCCAUCCGGGUCUGUCUGUCCCAUCCGGGUCUGUCUGCCUGUCCCAUCCGGGUCUGUCUGUCUGUCCCAUCCGGGUCUGUCUGUCCCAUCCGGGUCUGUCUGCCUGUCCCAUCCGGGUCUGUCUGUCUGUCCCAUCCGGGUCUGUCUGUCUGUCCCAUCCGGGUCUGUCUGUCCCAUCCGGGUCUGUCUGUCUGUCCCAUCCGGGUCUGUCUGCCUGUCCCUGUCGCAUUUUCAAGUCACCACUGACUUUCUACAGGAAACACGUUCAUUCCACAUUUGCGCUUUGUCCUCUCCACGCACUCCAGCCUCACCACCCAGCCCCCCCGCUGUUUCCCCUCACGCCUGCACAUGCAGGAGUCUGGGUGGGAAGGACGCUCUUGCCUGUCCAACCGCACCCACACUCGCCCACAGUCCUUCUGCCCUGGGCUCAGCGGAAAUACCCCUGUGGCCUCGAUGAUUGCACACCACGUUCCCAGCCUCCUGCGCUGUGGGCAGCUUGCCUCAUUUACUUUGUUUGUUUGCCCUUUCUGUAUUUCUUAACUUUCCACCGAGCCCCAGUGAGAAGGAAGGGCACGGGGCCGCACUGGUACCACCGGCUGAGGCCACCUCAGCCUGGUCAGCUCCCACCGUUUCUGGGGAGCCUGAGAAACCACCAGGACAGCAGAAAACACACGUUUCCCAUCUCCACUGGGAAUGGGUGUAGCAUGUGCUGACCUGCUCACAGAAAGGGCCCUUUUCAUCAGACGCCCCACAAGGAUGGCACCGUUGCCAAGGACACAGGUGAGCACAGCACUGCCCUCCCAAUGGGGAUGCCCUCCCAGUGGGGAUGCCCUCCCAGUGGGGAUGCCCUCCCAGUGGGGAUGCCCUCCCAGUGGGGAUGCCCUCCCAGUGGGGAUGCCUGGCAAACAGGGAAGGCAGACUGCCUGGAGCCCCUCCUCCUCCUCUUCUGCAGAGAGAACCCAGCUUAGGCCCCAGACCCCCCAGGCUCAGUCUCCUCAUGGGUGAGACCAGGAAAAUGAAGGUUUAUGAUGCGAGUUUAAUAAAAACUGUGCCCCAGGUGCUUCACCCACUACCUAAUACACCCAGCAAAUGGCCACCAUUACCGUUACCGCCACCUCAUCCUUUGACUUGGCCAUUCAUGUAGUAAAUCCCCUCUCCCACGACCGGCAGUCUGCACGGCUUCCACAGCUUCUUCACCUGCAAACAGGUUGCUGGAAAGUCAGCCUUGAGGAUUUCACGGAGUAAACAUCAAGGAGUUUGAAAGAGCUCCUAAUGGCCAAAGCCGGAAUGAUCUGAAGAAAAAAUAAUCUUUACUUUUAAUAUAAUGAGUGUGCCAGUACUGACUAAUCUCCCAUAGAUCAUUAUGUCCGGGUCCACACUGAUAAAAACAUUCAAAAAAAGAAAUAUGGAAGGAGCAGUGUUCUCCUACAGAAAAGUCUUAUUAAUAAAUGAGGAAAGAGGGACUUCCCUGGCAGUCCAGCGGUUAAGACUGUGUUCCCAAGGAACGGGGGCAUGAGCUUGAUCCCUGGUUGGGGAACAGAUCCUGCAUAUCCCACAUACCACCAGGUGCUGCCAAAAAUAAAUAAGGAAUGGGGGAAACAGAGUAUCACCAUUAGGGAAACAGUCUCGUAAUAACUUUCCAGCAACUAGGCAAAAAGUUGAACAGAAACAGGAUGCUGCAUAGCCUCAAAGCAACUGUCCCACAACAUCCAUCAGUCACCCCGAGGAUGACAGGAUGAGACGAUUGGGUGACACCACCAACUCAAUGGCUAUGAGUAUGAGCAAACUCUAGGAGAUCGUCAAGGACAGGGAAGCCUGGCAUGCUGCAGUCCACCGGGUUGCAGACACAACCCUGGGGAGGUGGCAAGAAAUGGUGGUUCGGGGCAUAUUUUUAGAUCAGAACUUCUCAAAAGCACUCUGCUUGCGUUCCCUCCCCAUCCAGUUUGAGACUCUGCUGAUCUAUUAACUUCAGAGUGCUUCUGAUUUAGAACAAACUACAGUCCUUGAAACGACUUACAAAAAAGAUAGGCUUGAAAUGACGGUUAAAAGAAAGACAUAAAGCGAACACACAAGGCUUAAGAUUUCAACGUUUAUUUUGCACAAAUGCCCAGUCUUCCCCACUCCUCCCACUCACUGUCCCAUGGCCCAUGCACCUUCCUCUGGGGGCACGAGGUCACGGGUGCCUAGAGAACUGGAAGAAGUCAGAGAGGCUAAAUCUACACAGUACUGACUGAGACGGAAGACCUUAGCUAGGAGGGGCUGCGAGAAAAAGAGGAGGGCAGACGGCAGACACACACCCUCCCAACCCUUCCAGGACCCUAGCUCUCCAACAGGACACCUAGGGCCGAGCCCCCGGGAGGUGGGUCAUCCCGGGUGGUCUCCUUGCUGGCCAGGGAGGUCACUCAACAGUGGGGAAGAUACUCCAAAUGUAACUGUGAAAGCGUAAAACACGCGUCUAUUUGAAAGAGACAAAUUCACCCGCGCCUCUGUUCCAACCGGAGCGCGGCCUGAUAGCAGACAGUCUGCAGGGAGGCCCUUCCUUCACUCCUUGCUCCCUCACCUCCUGCGCCGCUUCUCAUCCUUCCCCAGGAGGCUCAGAAACAGGUCAGAGAGGCCCACUUUGCAGUCAGAAAAGGGAACCAAGGGCUGGACGCGGAGAGACGGCGCAGACGGGGCUCGGGGACCGGGCAUAGUGCCACGCGGCGCCGGCGCUUCCGGUCGCCUUCCGAUGGCGUCAGCGGCGGCGCUUCCGGUCGCCUUCCGAUGGCGUCAGCGGCGCUCGCGGCCUGGGAGGACAGAGCGCGCCGAUGGCAGGCCGGGCCCGAGCUGCGCCGCGUGCACCGCAGGGCCGGCUCCCAGCGGAGGCUCCUGGCUGGCAGCGGCUGCAGACCACAGACGACCCUGCGGAGGGCGGGGCAGGCGACAGCGGGCGACACGCACCUGAGACAGCAGGCGGGGAGGCCGCUCAACCGGCCCGGAGCCCGCGAGCGCCCCGCCCGCGCGCGCCUGCGCCGCCGCCUCCCGCGCCCGCGCGGUCUCCGCCGCCCCGCCGGCGCGCUCCCGGCCGCUUCGGGGGAGGCCUUCCAGGACUGCCUGGUGCGGAGGCAGACGCGCUGCCUGGGUCUCCAGCCGGCCCAGCGCCCGCCCCUCAGCUCUCGUCUUGGCCCUUCUCCCCAGUGUCCGCCGCACCCUCCUGCCCGCCCCCCGCGCGUCCCGUCAGCCGAGACUGGCCGCGCGCCGGCGUCAAGCUCCGCGCGCGCGCGGGACGGCGCUGCGCGCGCGUGGGCCG
ensembl:lincRNA